rnacentral:lncRNA from 1 species
UAGAGUUUGAAUAUUUUUUAUUAUUUUAAUAUUCUAUACAACUUAAAUAAAAUAUCAUAAUUUUCAGCUUCUAAAAGUUUUAAUAUUUAUCAUAUUUUAAACUUGUUAAAAAAAUUAAAUUUAUAAUAUUCUGAAACUUUUAAAAAAAAAAAUUCUUAAAUAAAGAACCGGAUUAAACUAAGAAAAUUUUCAAUUUGGAUACUUGAUCAAAAUAAAAGUUGGAUACUUGAUCAAUUUGGAUACUUGAUCAAAAUAAAAGUUGC